CCCUUAGAUGUUCUGGGCCGCACGCGCGCUACACUGAUCAGUGCAACAAGCAUCCGUCCUUGGCCGACAGGCCCGGGCAAUCUUUGAACGCUGAUCGUGAUGGGGAUAGACUUUUGCAAUUUUUGGUCUUCAACGAGGAAUUCCUAGUAAACGCAAGUCAUCAACUUGCAUUGAUUACGUCCCUGCCCUUUGUACACACCGCCCGUCGCACCUACCGAUUGAAUGGUCCGGUGAAAUCUCCGGACUGGCGUGAGUCGGAGCAAUCUGACAAACGCCGGAAAGUUGAUUAAACCUUACCAUUUAGAGGAAGGUGAAGUCGUAACA
rnacentral:rRNA from 1 species